UAAAGCUAUACCAAACCGAUCCAUGUUUACUUUGAAAUAACUUCGAAAGUUCAAAAAUUCUGAAACCAAUAUCAAAAGUCAAAACUGCUGAACAUCUCUGAUUUUAACGAUGUUCGGCAUAUCUACUGACCUGGAAAGUGUCCAGGUGUAGAUGGGCUUUGACGUGGUAGAGUCAUUUUGUCAUAAGAACACGUCACUAACGUCUCUCCAGAUAGACGCAGCAGAAUUUCUUUUCAUAUUGACUAAAGUACCCUUCACACCAAACAUCACCCAAGCACAAAGACUUUGAAACGCUUCUUUCAUGGCGAAUUCACUCUUUCCACGAAACUUUGCAUCACUAUUGGCAUGAUAAGUUGGUCGUAUUCAAAUAUUAGUUAAUGACGAUAGCAUCAUUUGGUACAUCUCUACAACAUUCGUCAUGUUCUUGAGAUCUGAAAACCCUUAUGAGUUUCGGUUCCCGACAAGAUCAGUUUCGAUGUGAUAGUUUACAUUUGAAAGUCAUGUGACAAAAAGAGGUGAGGCGGUGGUGACGUACGGCAGCAAAGAAGAGACAUCAAUCGCCUGAAAGAUGCGGGGCUGGAGUGGAGGGAAAACUGAUCGGAGGAGGAGAGACGGAGGUGGUAAAAGAGAUGGGGACGUUGAUACCGGAGAGGAUGAAAGUAGUGACGUUACGUUGACGGCUUGCAUGAUGUGUCUUUGUAACUCCGACCCGAUUAGUGAUGUCUAUCGCGGUGCUUCCACUCGCCGAUAAGCAAAGUAGAAGAAAAAGACGAGUAUAAGUACCUUCCUCCUCCUUCUUCUCUAAAUCCCUAAUCCGAAAAGAUAUCCCAAAGCGGCAGCCUAGGGUUAUAACAACAUCUCGAUGGACACUCACUCUAGCAGGGAUCCGCCACCAAGGAUAUCUGUUGAAGGAUUCAACCCUCUCCUGAAGAUGAAAUCAAGAGUGAAUUGAUUAACCACUUCAAAUCAUGUGGCGAUAUCAUUAGAGUUGAUGCUCCCACAGACUUUAUUUUCGACAGAGAGAGCGUUGCAACUUAAUGGAAGUGACAUUGGAAAUUGGAAUGCCUUUGUUAAGUUUGCACCCGAGGAAGAAGAGGAGGAAUACCAGGUGGCAUUACGUUAUCAAAGUUCUCUGUAUGCUGACCUAGCCAGUGACAAAAGUUUAUGAAGUCAAGAGCAUUUUGACAGAACAUGUCUCUUCUUGUGGAGUGAUAACACAUGUACGUUUUUCCUCUCGACACAUGUAAGAAGGUGAAGCUAGUGCCCUAGGGUCUUAAUGGAAGUAAAGUGGGCGGAUUCAAAAUAACUACUAUACGCGUAGCCACAGUCAGAAGUAACCCUCGCCUUGCCCCCGGUGAUGAAACUAGGGUUGGCUAUAGACUAUAGUAUCCCAGCUCAUUUUAUUGAGUUUGCCCCCGAGAUCAAUAAUAAGCUCAAUGAUUAUAUGACUGAGUGGAGAGUCAAGGCGGGGAGGGAGAGGGUCAAGGCGAGGAGGGAGCAGAAGUUCAAGGCGAGUAAGGUUCUUAAGAAGAUGGCUUGUAGGGCUCGUAAUAAGGAGAUCAGCAUGGCCAUGAUCAGGAUGGAGAGGGAAAAGGGCAGUUCUUUUGAGAAGAUGUAAUAAAUUUCUCUCUCAAGUAACUAAAGCUCUUUGGUGUUUAUCAAUCCUGUGAUAAUACAAUGCAACCUUCCCGUUUGUUUUGUGUGUGUUUGUUGUGGAUGAUGAACUUGAAACUUAUUUAUCUCAGUUUUAUUAGCCGAUUU